CAGCCCCCUGAGGGCUCCUACGCUGCUGCCUUGCAGCUGUGGCUCCCCAGUGCGUGAGGCAGAGAGCCACCAGGUCCCAGCUGAGGAAGCCCCACAAACAGGUCAGACAGCAUUGAUGGCCCAGAGAGGUGGGCUCCUAGACGUAAUGCCUGAGGUGGAGCAGUCCUCUUGCAACCAUGAGGCCAAAAGUCACACGGAGGGAAGGUGGUGGAAUUUUGGGUACUAUGCAGGAAUGUUUUCACCGUGUGUCUGCCCAUGCCCACACCCAUCUGUGAUGCCCCCACAAACACUCAGACCCUGCGCACACAGGGAUGCUUCAGUUUGUCAUUCCAGCAAAUGAAAGUUUCACCUCCACAUUCAUGUCCACAAAUCCUGGACAACUUAACUUGCAUGUGGGGAAAGCCGAUCCAUCUGCAUGUAAAAUGUGGAGCAGCUGAGAAAUUCCCAGGCAUCUGAACUAUAAAACACAUUUUCAUUUCACCCUGCAAGGUAAACUAUCUGGAUUCUUU